UAGCAAUCACGAAGCAGUACUUCGUUGGCUUUUUAUUCUGGUCAGCUACCCACCACAGGAUAGAAAGGAAAUUGAAAUAUUUCUGUUUAUUAAAAGUCAAUUUCAAAGAUGUCAAACCCAGAGAACAAGGAAACUGCAGCCAAACCCAACUCAGCCGCUGCAGACAGUUAUGGAACGCGUAACGUAGGCGGAGCUGCUGUGUCUAUAAAAAUUAACAAAGCUUACAUCACGUCAAUUUCUGGAAUAUUGAAGAUCGUGGAAUUUAUCCUUUUGUUGUUAGCGUUUUCUAUCGCCGCUGACAUAAACAUAGGAAAUUGGGGACGCAUGAGUUUUUUCCUUUUUGUUACCAUUACUUCGUGGCUUUUUGUAAUCGCCUGGUUUGUGUUAUUCACCUUCAAUUUGCACACAAAGAUCAACCUCAGAAUAAACUGGAACAUUACGGUAAUUUUAAUUAAGCUUUACUUGAUAGAAGGUGUACUUACUCUGGUGAGAUUUCCUUGAAAACUUCAAUGAUUAUCCCUUACAAGUGUAAAUAGAAAAAGAGGAAAAAAUUUUUUCACGUUAAGAAGGCUCAAAAUGGCUUCG